rnacentral:rRNA from 1 species
UUCCGGUUGAUCCCGCCGGACCUGACUGCUAUUGGAGUAGGACUAAGUCACGCUAGUCAAAGGUGCGGAAUGGAGCACCUGGCGUACGGCUCAGUAACACGUAGUCAACCUACCCUAAGGACGAGGACAACCACGGGAAACUGUGGCUAAUACUCGAUAAGAAAUUUGGCCUGGAACGGUAUCUUUCACAAAACCGGCUCGCCGUGAGACACGGGCCUUAGGAUGGGGCUGCGGCCGAUUAUGCUAGAUGGCGGUGUAAAGGACCACCAUGGCUACGAUCGGUAUGGGCGAUGGAAGUCGGAGCCCAGAGUCGGCUACUGAGACAAGGAGCCGAGCUUUACGAAGCUUAGCGGUCGCGAAAACUCGCCAAUGCACGAAAGUGUGAGUGGGCUACUCCAAGUGUCAUUCUUACGGAUGACUGUCGCUCAGUCUUACCAGCUGAGAAAGGAAGGAGAGGGCAAGGCUGGUGCCAGCCGCCGCGGUAAAACCAGCUCUUCGAGUGGUCAGGACGAAUAUUGGGUCUAAAGCGCUCGUAGCCGGACAAGUAGGUUCUUGGUUAAAUCCGACAGCAUAACUGUUGGUCUGCUGGGAAUACCGCUAGUCUUGGAAGCGGGAGAGGACAGAGGUAGUCAUGGGGCAGGGGUGAAAUCCAGUGAUCCCAUGGCGACCACCGAUGGCGAAGGCAUCUGUCUGGAACGUAUUCGACGGUGAGGGGCGAAAGCUAGGGGAGCGACCCGGAUUAGAUACCCGGUUAGUCCUAGCCGUAAACGAUGCGGACUAGGUGUUACAGCGGCCAAGAGCCACUGUAGUGCCACAGCGAAGGCGUUAAGUCCGCCACCUGGGGAGUACGGAUGCAAGUCUGAAACUUAAAGGAAUUGACGGGGGCGCACCACCAGGAGUGAAGCCUGCGGUUUAAUUGGAUUCAACGCCGGG